UGGGGAAUAUUGCGCAAUGGGCGAAAGCCUGACGCAGCGACGCCGCGUGAGGGAUGACGGCCUUCGGGUUGUAAACCUCUUUCAGCAGGGAAGAAGCGGUCCGGUUCUCCGGGGCGUGACGGUACCUGCAGAAGAAGCACCGGCUAACUACGUGCCAGCAGCCGCGGUAAUACGUAGGGUGCGAGCGUUGUCCGGAAUUAUUGGGCGUAAAGAGCUCGUAGGCGGCCUGUCGCGUCGGAUGUGAAAACUCGGGGCUUAACCCCGAGCCUGCAUUCGAUACGGGCAGGCUAGAGUUCGGCAGGGGAGACUGGAAUUCCUGGUGUAGCGGUGAAAUGCGCAGAUAUCAGGAGGAACACCGGUGGCGAAGGCGGGUCUCUGGGCCGAUACUGACGCUGAGGAGCGAAAGCGUGGGGAGCGAACAGG
rnacentral:rRNA from 1 species